rnacentral:lncRNA from 1 species
GGCGACGGCGGCGGGGGAGGUGCUCCUGCAGGGUGGGUGCUGCUCCUGCAGGAAGAAGAAGAAGAAGGGUGGGUGCUGCUCCGGCAGGAGAAAGAAGAAGAAGAAGAAGAAUAGAAGAGGAAAAAAAAGAAAGAAAUGAAAUAGUGCAAAAUUUUUCUAAAUGGUGCAAUAUUAGCCUAAAGAGUAUAAAGUUAUUUUAAAAGAGUGUAAUUUUUAUAUGAAAUAGUAUAAUUUUUAUUAAAAAAGUGCAAUAUUUUUUUAAAACAGUGUAAUUUUUUUUUAAGAGUGCAAUUUUAUCAUCUUCUUUCUUCUCCUAUAUUUUUUGAUCUUUUCUGUAAGAAAAAAAUAAUUUUUUUUUAUUAUUCUUAUUUUUUUCUAUAAUUUUUUGUUUAUCACC